GAUGAACGCUGGCGGCGUGCCUAAUACAUGCAAGUCGAGCGAACAGACGAGGAGCUUGCUCCUCUGACGUUAGCGGCGGACGGGUGAGUAACACGUGGAUAACCUACCUAUAAGACUGGGAUAACUUCGGGAAACCGGCGCUAAUACCGGAUAAUAUAUUGAACCGCAUGGUUCAAUAGUGAAAGACGGUUUUGCUGUCACUUAUAGAUGGAUCCGCGCCGCAUUAGCUAGUUGGGAAGGUAACGGGUUACCAAGGCUACGAUGCGUAGCCGACCGGAGAGGGUGAUCGGCCACACUGGAGCUGAGACACGGUCCAUACGCCUACGGGAGGCAGCAGUAGGGAAUGUGCCGCAAUGGGCGAAAGCAUGACGGAGCAACGCCGCGUGAGUGAUGAAGGUGUUCGGAGCGUAAUACUCUGUUAUUAGGGAAGAACAAAUGUGUAAGUAACUAUGCACGUCUUGACGGUACCUAAUCAGAAAGCCACGGCUAACUACGUG
rnacentral:rRNA from 1 species